GGGGAUUAGUAGCGCGAGCACUCUGGGUCCACCUCCCAUCCGUGUCUAUCUGUACCCUGUUGCUUCGGCGUGGCCACGGCCCGCCGGAGACUAACAUUUGAACGCUGUCUGAAGUUUGCAGUCUGAGUUUUUAGUUAAACAAUCGUUAAAACUUUCAACAACGGAUCUCUUGGUUCCGGCAUCGAUGAAGAACGCAGCGAAAUGCGAUAAUUAAUGUGAAUUGCAGAAUUCAGUGAAUCAUCGAGUCUUUGAACGCACAUUGCGCCCCCUGGUAUUCCGGGGGGCAUGCCUGUCCGAGCGUCAUUGCUGCCCUCAAGCACGGCUUGUGUGUUGGGCUUCCGUCCCUGGCAACGGGGACGGGCCCAAAAGGCAGUGGCGGCACCAUGUCUGGUCCUCGAGCGUAUGGGGCUUUGUCACCCGCUCCCGUAGGUCCAGCUGGCAGCUAGCCUCGCAACCAAUCUUUUUAACCAGGUUGACCUCGGAUCAGGUAGGGAUACCCGCUGAACUUAAGCAUAUAUAAACCGGGAAGGAAAAGAAACCCCCUAAACUUAUA
rnacentral:misc_RNA from 1 species